GAAGGGCUGCACAUCAGAGAGGCUGUUUAGUUUUUCAUUCUACUGCAGUGGAAGAACAUUGUUCAUCUGCUGUCUGUUUGGCUUUAACAACUCCAAAGACAUGUUGCUUUACCUGUUUUUACUUUUCUCUCCCUUUAUAGGUGAGUGUUAGAACAGAGAUCAAAGUCUCAUAUAACCUGCUGUUUUAACCAGAUAUUUCAUAACUAGAGGUUUAUCUGUGUAAGUUAAUGAUAACUGACGUGAAUAAUACUCAUUUUGCAGCCUUGGGUUCCAUGAACAGCAUAAACCCAGAAAGUACUGAAGAACAUGUUGCAGAGGGCAGAAACAUCAACCUGACCUGUACAUAUGAGGGUGUUAUCAACAAUAUCCAGUGGUACCGACAAUACCAGAGAUCCAGACCAGAGUUCCUGCUCUACAUCACAGAGGGAGGAUUGAUUCAUCCAACUGGUUCUGAUUUCUCAGCUCACAUUGACAAGAAAACUAAACGUGUUGAUCUGGAGAUCAUCUCAGCUAAGGUGUCUGACUCUGCUGUGUACUACUGUGCUCUGAGGCCCACAGUGACAGGAAACACCAAAACUCUGUACAAAAACCUUUGGAGCAAAGACAACACAAUACUCCACAACAUCCACUAGAGGGAGUCACACACUGUUAAACUUCAGAUAAAUUACAAAGUGUUGAGAGUUCCUCAACAGAUGAUAAAGAGGAAGGACCAAUGAUGUGAAGGCCCAGAUCCAUCAGAGUAUCAAUGCUCUUCCUCUCUCUCCUCCCCUCUCACUGCAGACAUGAAACACUGGCUGACUAACAUCCUGAUUCUGACU